rnacentral:rRNA from 1 species
ACGAACGCUGGCGGCGUGCUUAACACAUGCAAGUCGAACGGAAAGGCCCUGCUUUUGUGGGGUGCUCGCGUGGCGAACGGGUGAGUAACACGUGAGUAACCUGCCCUUGACUUUGGGAUAACUUCAGGAAACUGGGGCUAAUACCGGAUAGGAGCUCCUGCUGCAUGGUGGGGGUUGGAAAGUUUCGGCGGUUGGGGAUGGACUCGCGGCUUAUCAGCUUGUUGGUGGGGUAGUGGCUUACCAAGGCUUUGACGGGUAGCCGGCCUGAGAGGGUGACCGGCCACAUUGGGACUGAGAUACGGCCCAGUCUCCUACGGGAGGCAACAGUGGGGAAUAUUGCGCAUUGGGCGGGAGCCUGAUGCAGCAACGCCGCGUGCGGGAUGACGGCCUUCGGGGUGUAAACCGCUUUCGCCUGUGACGAAGCGUGAGUGACGGUAAUGGGUAAAGAAGCACCGGCUAACUACGUG